AGUAGGAUGAAUGAUCGCUGCCGUAUCGUAAGGGUGCGGGAGAGGAAAGUCCGGGCUUCAUAGGGCAGGAUGCCGGAUAACGUCCGGUGGAGGCAACUCCAAGGAAAGUGCAACAGAAAUAUACCGCCAGAUGUCCGUAGGGAUAUCCGGUAAGGGUGGAAGGGCAGUGUAAGAGACUACCGCCUUCCUGGUAACAGGAGGGGCACAUGUAAACCCCAUCCGAAGCAAGGCCAGAUCAAAGCGUUGACGUUGCCCGCCAGCUUUAGGUAGGCCGCUUGAGGUAACUGGUAACAGUUAUCCUAGAUAGAUGAUCAUUCGAUUGUAGCAGCUUGCUGCUAGGAUAUGACAUAACCCGGCUUACAGUCCUACUUA
rnacentral:RNase_P_RNA from 1 species